rnacentral:rRNA from 1 species
CAGCCGCCACGGUAAUACGAAGGGGGCUAGCGUUGUUCGGAAUUACUGGGCGUAAAGCGCACGUAGGCGGAUACUUAAGUCAGGGGUGAAAUCCCAGAGCUCAACUCUGGAACUGCCUUUGAUACUGGGUAUCUUGAGUAUGAAAGAGGAGAGCGGAAUUUCCAGUGUAGCAGUGAAAUGCGUAGAUAUUGGAAGGAACACCGAUGGCGAAGGCAGCUUUCUGGGUCGAUACUGACGCUCAUGUGCGAAAGCGUGGGGAGCAAACAGGAUUAGAGACCCCAGUAGUCCUGUCUCUUAUACA